rnacentral:rRNA from 1 species
UACAGAGGUCUCAAGCGUUGUUCGGAUUCACUGGGCGUAAAGGGUGCGUAGGUGGCAUGGCCAGUUUGAUGUGAAAGCUCAGGGCUUAACCCUGAAAUGGCAUUGAAUACUGCUGUGCUGGAGGUUUGGAGGGGGGACUGGAAUUCUUGGUGUAGCAGUGAAAUGCGUAGAUAUCAAGAGGAACACCAGUGGCGAAGGCGAGUCCCUGGACAACACCUGACACUGAGGCACGAAAGCUAGGGGAGCAAACAGG